UGAGGAAUUUUGCGCAAUGGGAGCAAUCCUGACGCAGCAACGCCGCGUGGGUGAUGAAGGCCUUCGGGUCGUAAAGCCCUGUCAGGUGGGAAGAAUGUCCCGGGACUGAACAGGUUUUGGGAGUGACGGUACCACCAGAGGAAGCACCGGCUAACUCCGUGCCAGAAGCCGCGGUAAUACGGAGGGUGCAAGCGGUAUUCGGAAUUACUGGGCGUAAAGCGCGGGUAGGCGGUCCUGCAAGUCUGAGGUGAAAGCCCCGGGCUUAACCCGGGAAGUGCAUUGGAAACUGUGGGACUUGAGGACGGGAGAGGAUGGGGGAAUUCCCGGUGUAGAGGUGAAAUUCGUAGAGAUCGGGAGGAAUAUCAGUGGCGAAGGCGCCCAUCUGGACGGUAACUGACGCUGAGACGCGAAAGCGUGGGGAGCAAACA
rnacentral:rRNA from 1 species